CCUACGGGGGGCAGCAGUGAGGAAUAUUGGUCAAUGGACGAGAGUCUGAACCAGCCAAGUAGCGUGAAGGAUGACUGCCCUAUGGGUUGUAAACUUCUUUUAUAUGGGAAUAAAAUGUUCCACGUGUGGGAUUUUGUAUGUACCAUAUGAAUAAGGAUCGGCUAACUCCGUGCCAGCAGCCGCGGUAAUACGGAGGAUCCGAGCGUUAUCCGGAUUUAUUGGGUUUAAAGGGAGCGUAGGUGGAUUGUUAAGUCAGUUGUGAAAGUUUGCGGCUCAACCGUAAAAUUGCAGUUGAAACUGGCAGUCUUGAGUACAGUAGAGGUGGUCGGAAUUCGUGGUGUAGCGGUGAAAUGCUUAGAUAUCACGAAGAACUCCGAUUGCGAAGGCAGUUCACUGGACUGCAACUGACACUGAGGCUCGAAAGUGUGGGUAUCAAACAGGAUUAGAUACCCCUGUAGUC
rnacentral:rRNA from 1 species